CUUUCCUCUCCUCUCCUCUCCAUCUUCAUCUUCAUCUCCAUCUCGAUCUGCUCAGCUGAGCUCUUCAUUCUCUUCUCAAUCUCUGAACUCUAUCAUCGUGUAGAAGUGUAUCAUCAGGUAAUGACAGUGUUGUAUUGUGGUUCCGCACUAGGGUAAAAUUUAGGCGGAAAAGUUGGUUAUUUUGAAUUGCGGGUAUGAAGGAACGGCAAACUCUUCGAGAUGGGUUCUCGACGUACUUGUCAGAUGUUGAUGAUGAUAAAUUAGAUACUUCAGGAGACUCUAUUAAAGGAAUCGGUGAAUCCUUCAUGGAUAUUAUGUCAUUUCUUCCUUUUUAUUUGGUUACCAUCUUGGGGUAGUGAGAGAACCACUUGAAAGUAUUUCACUGGAUCUUGGUUUUAGCAGGAAUUCCCUUGCUGAAGGUCUGGUGGUGAGUACAUGUCUUGGUGGUGCAUUUCUUGGGUCCAUUUUAAGUGGUUCAACAGAAGAUGAUGUAUGGCGUCGUAGGGGUUUUCAGUUGAGUGAUUUACCAAUGAUUAUUGGGUCUUUUCUUAGCGCGAUAACAGAAAUCCUGGAAGGUAUGCUUCUUGGGAGGUUUCUUGUUGGAACAUGCAUGGGUGUAGGUCCAUAUGUUGCUUCUCUCUAUGUAACUGAGGUUUCACCUUCUUUUGUAAGAGGUACUUAUGGGAGCUUUAUCCAGAUAGCAGCAUGUCUUGGACUUAUGUCAUCCCUGUUAAUUGGAAUCCCAGCCAAGGAAAUUGCUGGAUGAAGCACCUGGCUAACAUACUUUCUCUAUUGGUGGACUCAGUGGAUGGGGAAGAUGAGGAAUUCUGUGGAUUGUGAACUCUCUACAGUUGAGCAUAUUCAUUCAUGGAAGCUUCGCUAUGGUUAUGACCGUGUGAAUGAUGAUAAAUAUGUUUCCAACAUCGAGGCCAAGAUGACUGAUGGUAUGUCAUAUAUCUUAAAUUACAUAGUAGUUUACCAGUUCUUAGUUUCGUUUUUAGUAUAGUCAAGACUCAAGAUUUUGGUGAAUGUUUUGUACUAAAUAAAACAAGAACAAUUUUAGGGGAUAGUUUUGUGUAUUAUGCUUGCAAGAUGCUACUUCAGCUGGAUUACAAGAUGAUCCCCAAGUUCUGGUGCAGAUUCAAUGUGUUUACAGAACACCAAUUAUAUGCGCAAGCUUUUGUUGUAUCAUUGUUUUAACCUAGGUCAUUGGAAGGAGGAUUAGAGACAAUGGUAACUUAUACAGUUCCCCAUAUUCAUCAUUUCCACAGAUUUUGCCUGCUUGUACUUAUACAUCGUAUUAUUUCUUUAUUAGUUUUUGACUCAAUCUUUAUAAGCAUAAUGGUUAUCUGAUUGGAAGAAUUUGUGAUGCUUUGUUCGCUGGUUGAUGAAUGAUGUUGUGUUAUGAGAUCAGAAAUUAAGGUUGGAGAACAAAGCAGCAUCCAUUAGGUCCCUUAGCAGCUGCAAGAUUUGUAAGUUUAUGUAGUAUCUCCUUAUAGUGAUUUAAGUUAGAAGAACUUAGGAAUUUAGGAACCAAGUAUGUUUCUAAUGUGUACACUAGUUUGUUGUGAUACUUAGAAUACAUUUGUAUCAAAUACUCAUACUUUUUGUUA